rnacentral:tRNA from 1 species
CUGGUGCUGGACUGCGCGGUCGUCUUGCCGCUGAGGUCGGCGAUCGACUUGAUCCGGUCGUCGCCGGUGCGCCGCAC